rnacentral:rRNA from 1 species
AUACGUAGGGGGCGAGCGUUGUCCGGAAUCAGCUGGGCGUAAGGGCGCGUAGGCGGCCUGGUAAGCGUGGCGGUGAAAAGCCCCGGGGCUCAACCCCGGGUCGGGCCGUGCGAACUGCGAGGCUGGAGCACUGGUAGAGGCAUGGUGGAAUUCCGGGUGUAGCGGAUGGAAUGCGUAGAGAUCCGGAAGAACACCGGUGGCGAAGGCGGCCUGCUGGGCAGUGGCUGACGCUGAGGCGCGACAGCGUGGGGAGCAAACAGGG